CCUACGGGUGGCAGCAGUAGGGAAUUUUGCGCAAUGGGCGAAAGCCUGACGCAGCAACGCCGCGUGAUCGAGACGCCCUUCGGGGUGUAAAGAUCUGUCAGUGGGGACGAAACUUGACGGUACCCACAGAGGAAGCACCGGCUAACUCCGUGCCAGCAGCCGCGGUAAUACGGGGGGUGUAAGCGUUGUCCGGAAUCAUUGGGCGUAAAGAGUUCGUAGGCGGCACGUAAAGUCUGGUGUUAAAGGCAGAGGCUCAACUUCUGUACGGCACUGGAUACUUGCGAGCUAGAAUGCGGUAGAGGUAAAGGGAAUUCCUGGUGUAGCGGUGAAAUGCUUAGAUAUCAGGAGGAACAUCGGUGGCGUAAGCGCUUUACUGGACUGUAACUGACGUUGAGGCUCGAAAGCGUGGGGAGCAAACAGGAUUAGAUACCCGAGUAGUC
rnacentral:rRNA from 1 species